UCCUGAAUGCCUGCUCGCUACCCGCGGCAGAGUGGCACCUCCGCCCCCCUCCCGCUCCCCAAGGACAUUCGCAGGAUUUCCUCCUAGAGAGAGAGAGAGAGAGAGAGAGAGGUGGGCUGGUGCGUGCUGGAUGCCGCUCCUGCGACGAUGCCUCUCCUGCAAGCGAGCGCGCCUAGCUAACCCUUAGGAUCUAACCUCCCAUCCUGGCUGCGCCGACGCUCCUCCUGCUCAGGGGGCGCGAGCGACCGGGGCAGAGAGAGGCUGGAGCUGCUGCUGCUGCUGCUGCCGCCGCCGAUUGCUCCGCGCCGCCGUCUCCCGAGCUGUCACUGCUGCUGCUGCUGCGUUGGAUCCCGGAGUCUCCUCUGCUGCUUUCCUUAGGUUUGCUGCCUGGGCAGCUCCGGGUGCGCUCGAGAGAGGGGCUCCUGCUCCGCAGAGGCAGCUGCCAGCAUCUCCACCAACAGCACCAUCCCCAUUAUAGUCGAAGUUGCUGCUAUUAUUACCCCACUACUGCUACUACUACUAUUAUUAUUGAAGCUGGCUCCGCGGUCUGUCCUCUCUGGUUUCACAUCCUCUUUCCUGCUCACGAUUCAAAUACAAUAGAAGGAAA